rnacentral:rRNA from 1 species
UACGUAGGGUGCAAGCGUUGUUCGGAAUCAUUGGGCGUAAAGCGCGUGUAGGUGGUUAGGUAAGUCGGGUGUGAAAUGCCUGGGCUCAACCGAGGAAGUGCAUCCGAGACUAUCUAGCUGGAGGAUGGCAGAGGAAGGUGGAAUUCCUAGUGUAGAGGUGAAAUUCGUAGAUAUUAGGAGGAAUACCGGCGGCGAAGGCGGCCUUCUGGGCCAUUCCUGACACUGAGACGCGAAAGCGUGGGGAGCAAACAGG